rnacentral:rRNA from 1 species
UGGGGAAUCUUGCACAAUGGGGAAAACCCUGAUGCAGCGACGCCGCGUGAGCGAUGAAGCCCUUCGGGGUGUAAAGCUCUUUCGGCAGGGACGAUAAUGACGGUACCUGCAGAAGCAGCUGCGGCUAACUACGUGCCAGCAGCCGCGGUAAUACGUCGGCAGCGAGCGUUGUUCGGAGUUACUGGGCGUAAAGGGUGUGUAGGCGGUUCCUUAAGUUUGUUGUGAAAUCUCCCGGCUCAACUGGGAGGGUGCGGCGAAUACUGAGGGGCUAGAGUGCGGGAGAGGAAAGUGGAAUUCCUGGUGUAGCGGUGAAAUGCGUAGAUAUCAGGAGGAACACCGGUGGUGUAAACGGCUUUCUGGACCGUAACUGACGCUGAGACACGAAAGCGUGGGUAGCAAACA